GACGAACGCUGGCGGCGUGCUUAACACAUGCAAGUCGAACGGAAAGGCCCUGCUUUUGUGGGGUGCUCGAGUGGCGAACGGGUGAGUAACACGUGAGUAACCUGCCCUUGACUUUGGGAUAACUUCAGGAAACUGGGGCUAAUACCGGAUAGGAGCUCCUGCUGCAUGGUGGGGGUUGGAAAGUUUCGGCGGUUGGGGAUGGACUCGCGGCUUAUCAGCUUGUUGGUGGGGUAGUGGCUUACCAAGGCUUUGACGGGUAGCCGGCCUGAGAGGGUGACCGGCCACAUUGGGACUGAGAUACGGCCCAGACUCCUACGGGAGGCAGCAGUGGGGAAUAUUGCACAAUGGGCGGAAGCCUGAUGCAGCAACGCCGCGUGCGGGAUGACGGCCUUCGGGUUGUAAACCGCUUUCGCCUGUAACGAAGCGUGAGUGACGGUAAUGGGUAAAGAAGCACCGGCUAACUACGUG
rnacentral:rRNA from 1 species